AGUGUUUCCUAGAGCCAUCUGCUGACAACACGAACAUUGGGCAUCUGACAGAGGAGAAAUAUUUAUAAGGUUUAGCUCCAGUAUCACAGGCAGAGCAAUGGAGGAUGGAUUUGGAGCUGCAAGGCAAUAAACUGGUAACUGAACAAAAUGGAUCUGAGAACGCUGUCUGGGCUUGGUACCAAGAGCUGGUAUUUCACAGCAGCGACCGCCUCACAGACGAGCUGUGGGAAGCAGGAGGGAGACUCUCUCUUAGGGUGCCACUACUAUGGAGACACAGCUGGGCUGAACAAGAUUUGCUUCAAACGACAACAAGAGAGACAGAAAGUAUCUGGUUCAACCGCUGCCCGAGCAGGCAGGCACCAGAAGAGCUAGCAGCCAAUCCGGCCAUGCUCGAAGCCAGCUCUGCAGCUCAGCCAAUCAGUGACAUCAUUGGUGAGAAACUCAUUUACAUCAUGCAGUAAUGAACUUUGUUUAACAUAGACUUCCCCCUUUCCUGUCACCCCCCCCCCUUUCCAUAUUAGGUCCUUCCAUUAAUUAUUCUGCUGGCAUAAUUUAAACCGCUAUGCAAAAAUGUGGCUACAUUCUCUCUGAUGGCUUUUACCUCCCCCCCCCCCCCCCCCAUUGGUGUCUGCCGUCACUGAAAGUGAUUCUGGGUACAAUUCUAUUUUGUUUUGAACUUGCAAAAAUUAUCUUCUCUUUCUUAAAAAAAA
rnacentral:lncRNA from 1 species